rnacentral:lncRNA from 1 species
CUCCCUCACCCUGUACAGCCCCAGCAGUUUCUCUCGCUCCACACACCCAAGACUGCCUCAGGGCAGGGCCUCCUCAGCUCAUGCAUGGACCCUGGACUGAGUCAGUCCCUACACCCAGCUCCCAGCUCAGAGGCCAACUUUUGGAGGAAGCUUUCCCUGGGCAACUGUCUGACUUUCGCUUUCACCCACAGCAGCCAGGUUGUGGACUAACCAAGGAUGGAGAACCAAAGCUGUGGGCAAUGGGGGCUCAAGCCAACGAAAUUCUCAGGUCCUUGUGAGAACAGCAUCGCUGAUGGUUAUGUCGGCUUUGUAUUUUUCAGUGAGUGAGUGUUUUCCUCAGACUGACUGAAGACAGAGCUUGUAUAGGCCAAGCUGGCUUUGAGCUAGCUAUGUUGUCAAAGAUAACCUUCAACUUCAGUUCCCGCCCACCUCUACCUCCGGAGAGCUAGGAUUACAGCAUGAGCCACCACACAUGCCUGUUCUAUGCAGUGCUGGGGAGUCAGCUCAGGGCUAGCUAUGCUCACUACCAACCAAGCCACACCCCCGCCUACGUGACAAGAUCUUUAAAAGCAUCAUCCGAGGAACGUGGAAGGAGACACGCUCACCAAGCCCUGCCCCUCCCUGCGGAGGGUUCUCCCUGGGCGUACUUCUGGUGUGCUGUGGACAAGAAGAGAGAAAGCCCUAAGGCAAAAAAAUCCAGGAAGAAGUCUGCACCAAGGGUCACUGGGAGGAUGAUACAAGUCCACCUGUGCUCCUGUCCUGUUCUUCUCAGUCACCCAUCUCAUGUCCCAACCCUCAGGAUAUGAGAAGGGACUCAGGUAGAAACCUCUGGCUGGACCCCGAGUGCUGGGAGUUGCUUCCCCCUUCCUUGAGCUGCGCGAUGGGACCUAAUGAAGACAGAGGGACAGAGUUCUGCCCUCUUGCUCUCCAGGAGGUGACUCCAGACAGCACAUUGCCUUUCAGCGAUGGACAUUCAUGUUCUGGUGCCUGUGAUCAUAAGAAAGAGUGAUAAGAAGCAGUUGCCCCAAAUCAUGAUCGUAC